GACAGAGCGAUUAGCGGGCUCAGAUGCCUGACCCCGCGUGCGCCUUCCGGACCGGAGAAGCCGGAGAUCUUCAAAGGCACUCAAGAAAGAUGGCCAAGUGGGGGCCGUUCCAGGCGAGGGGACUUGGAGCCAAGUCCCCAAGGAAGGGGGAGACUUCCUAGGAUGAGCUUGCACGUGUUGCUGAAGGAAGCCUCCAUGUUGGAGAGACCCAUAUGGCAAAGGACUGAAAGCAGGCUGUGGCCAACAGCUGGUUAGAAACGAAGACCUUAAGACCCUAGUAAACUAAGAUCCAGCAGCCCCCAGGCCCUGAAUUCUGCCAAUGAUCAGUUCUUUCAGAUCUUAAUAGAUAACCGUCGUUUUUAUCUCAUACUAUGGCUGGUCAAAGAACCAUGUGAAGAGAGGGAGUGACAGCCCCACCAUACUCUUCUUCACUUCUACUGGCAUUAUUAUUAUAAAGUUUAACUGGUGUCUUCAUGGAAUCUUCUUCAGCCACUUGUCCUUUUUUUAAAAGGCUUAUUUCAUUAAGCAAGAUUGUUCACUGUGAGUGUAUCCAAUGUAAUUGAUUUUGGUAGACUCAUCUUGUAUCUUGUAACCCUGCUGAUUUUCAGAAAGGAUGUCAAGACCAUCCAAUGGGGAAAUAAUAGUCUUUUCAAAACUGGUGCUGGGACAACUGGUUAGCCAUAAGCCAAAGAAUAAAAUUAGAUCCCUGCUUCACUAGAUUAAAAAAAAAAAACUCAAAAUGGAUCAAAGACCUAAAUGUGAAAACUAAAUCCAUAAAACUCAUAGAAGAAAAUAGGAGUAAACCUUCAUGACCUUGCGCUUGGCAAAAAAAAAUUCUUAGAUAUGACACCUAAAGCAUGAGCAACAAAAGAGAGAAAAUAAAUAAAUCAAAAUUCAGCAAAAUUAUGAUUUAUGCUUCAAUGAAUACCAUCAAGAAAGCAAAAAGACAACCCACGGAACAGAAGAAAAUAUUUGCAAAUUCUACAUCUGAUAAGGGACUUGUAUCUAGGAUGUGUAAAGACAAAUAUAUAAAGACUCACAAUGAAAAAUAACCCAAUUUUUUUAAAUGGGUAAAAGAGAUGAGCAAACAUUACUCCAAAAACUACUAUACAAAUGGCUAAUAAGUACAUGAAAAACUGCAUCAUUAGUCAUCAAAUAAAUACAAAUCAAAACCUCAGUGAAAUACCACUCCGUACCCAUGAGGAGGCUAUAUAAAAAGUCAGACAAACAAGUGUUGGUGAGGAUGUGAGAAAAUUGGAGCCUCCAUACACUGCUGGUGGGAGUGUAAAACGGUGUAGCUUCUUUGGAAAGCAGUCAGAUGGUUCUUCACAUGAUUAAAAUACAGAGUUACCAUAUGUUUUAGCAAUUUUACUCCUAAGUAUAUAUAUACCCAAGAGAAAUGAAAACAUCCGUUUACACAGAAACUUAUACAUGAAUGUAUGCAGAAGUGUUAUUCAGAAUAGCCAUAAGGUGGAAACAACCCAAAUGUCCAUCAGUUGAUGAAUGAAUAAACAUAAUGUGGUAUAUCUAUACAACAGAAUGUGUUUGGCUACAAAAAGUAAUGAAGUCCUGAUACGUGGUACAACAUGCAUUGACAGCAUUAUCCCAAGUGAAAGAAACCAGUC